rnacentral:tRNA from 1 species
GCCACCGUAGCUCAGUGGUAGAGCACACCCUUGGUAAGGGUGAGGUCGAGGGUUCAAGCCCCUCUGGUGGCU